rnacentral:tRNA from 1 species
GAGGGUAUAGCUCAAGUGGUAGAGUGCAUGCUUAGCAUGCAUGAGGUCCUGGGUUCAAUCCCCAGUACUUCCU